UUCAUUAAUGUAACUUUUAUAUCAUAUCAACAUUUUUCAUAAAUACAUAAUAACAAUAAUAAUAAUUAUUAUUAUUAUUUUAGCCAUCCAACACGACAAAUGUAAAAGCAUGGGAAUAUUUAUGCAUGUUUUACUCGUCUGCCAUUUGUUUGUUGCAUUUGCAACCACUAGAGGGCGCCCUCUCACUAGUGAAUGCCAGGUGUAGUUAAUGAGGUGUAAGUUACAAGCUCAAUCAAUGGAAGCUGGCCAGGACAGGAGAAAAGGUCCUUCAGGUGCAGGAAUCAGAUGCAGUGAUGAUGAAGAGGCUCGCAGAACCAUCAUCUGCUUCUUUGGACACACUGGUUGAUGAUCCCUGAUUCUCAGAGGUACAUCGUGGUGAAUUGGUCAAGUGGACUUUUACCUUGCAUGGCCCUGUACAAAGCCGUAUGACCAUCUGCCUGCACUCUGAGCCGAGGUAGCAUGAGGAUAGACAGAGGCAUGAGGCAGUGGAGGAGGGUGAGAUGGAGGGACAGAUUAAGCAGAUCUUAAUAUGGGAGUAAUUCACAAGUUACAUCAUCAUUUAAUAAACCUCACGUCGUUUCCAUGUCAUUUUAUUUAAUCAAUCUCAAGUCCGUUAUCUGACAAUUGCACUCUUUGUUCAUAAAUGUCAUUAAUGACCAUGACAAUUGUAUUAGUAAAUAUUAUUAGUAAAUAUUGACUUAUUAAUUGUGUUUUGUAAGAUU